GUUUAUAAGGCAAUUAAUACAGCGAAACUGCGAAUGGCUCAUUAAAUCAGUUAUCGUUUAUUUGAUAGUACCUUACUACAUGGAUAACCGUGGUAAUUCUAGAGCUAAUACAUGCUAAAAACCCCGACUUCGGAAGGGGUGUAUUUAUUAGAUUAAAAACCAAUGCCCUUCGGGGCUCACUGGUGAUUCAUGAUAACUUCUCGAAUCGCACGGCCUUGCGCCGGCGAUGGUUCAUUCAAAUUUCUGCCCUAUCAACUUUCGACGGCUGGGUCUUGGCCAGCCGUGGUGACAACGGGUAACGGAGGGUUAGGGCUCGACCCCGGAGAAAACGCCUGAGAAACGGCGUUUACAUCCAAGGAAGGCAGCAGGCGCGCAAAUUACCCAAUGCCGACACGGCGAGGUAGUGACGAGAAAUACUGAUACAGGGCUCUUUUGGGUCUUGUAAUUGGAAUGAGUACAAUUUAAAUCUCUUAACGAGGAACAAUUGGAGGGCAAGUCUGGUGCCAGCAGCCGCGGUAAUUCCAGCUCCAAUAGCGUAUAUUAAAGUUGUUGCAGUUAAAAAGCUCGUAGUUGAACCUUGGGCCUGGCUGGCCGGUCCGCCUCACCGCGUGCACUGGUCCGGCCGGGCCUUUCCCUCUGGGGAACCGCAUGUCCUUCACUGGGCGUGUCGGGGAACCAGGACUUUUACUUUGAAAAAAUUAGAGUGUUCAAAGCAGCCUAUGCUCGAAUACAUUAGCAUGGAAUAAUAGAAUAGGACGUGUGGUUCUAUUUUGUUGGUUUCUAGGACCGCCGUAAUGAUUAAUAGGGACAGUCGGGGGCAUCAGUAUUCAAUUUGUCAGAGGUGAAAUUCUUGGAUUUAAUUGAAGACUAACUACUGCGAAAGCAUUUUGCCAAGGAUG
rnacentral:rRNA from 1 species